CCUACGGGUGGCAGCAGUCGAGAAUCAUUCACAAUGGGGGAAACCCUGAUGGUGCGACGCCGCGUGGGGGAAUGAAGGUCUUCGGAUUGUAAACCCCUGUCAUGUGGGAGCAAAUUAAAAAGAUAGUACCACAAGAGGAAGAGACGGCUAACUCUGUGCCAGCAGCCGCGGUAAUACAGAGGUCUCAAGCGUUGUUCGGCAGCACUGGGCGUAAAGGGUGCGUAGGCUGUUUCGUAAGUCGUGUGUGAAAGGCGCGGGCUCAACCCGCGGACGGCACAUGAUACUGCGAGACUAGAGUAAUGGAGGGGGAACCGGAAUUCUCGGGGUAGCAGUGAAAUGCGUAGAUAUCGAGAGGAACACUCGGGGCGAAGGCGGGUUCCUGGACAUUAACUGACGCUGAGGCACGAAGGCCAGGGGAGCGAAAGGGAGUAGAUACCCCUGUAGUC
rnacentral:rRNA from 1 species